UCAUAGUUGGGAGUUUGGUAUGAAGAGAAGGAAUGAAAGAAGAAAGAAUGGCAGGAAUGUAGGAGGAUGGAGGAACAUGACACUGGGGUCACCAGGUGGGGCCCAGAAAGCAGGCUGCUGGUACUAGUCCAACAGAAAGGAGUCUGUUCUGCUGUAAGACAGGAACUCGCAUGCCACCUAUUUGAAGCCAAAGGACUAACUCCCCAAGGAUGGAAUUUUUGGCAGCCUAUGAUUCUGGAAGAAGGCAAGUAAUACUGGAGAGACUCCUCAGGAGUAAAGAACCAGCAGGAGAAAGGUGUGGCCCCAGUCCACUCAUUUCCUCCACCGAGAGUGACUUUUCCAAAGUCAUACAGGACAAGAGGGGCAACCUGAGACCAUGGACACAGGGACACUCCCUCCCACCACAGCCACCUCCCCUACAUGUAAAGGUCCUGAAGAUUAAUGAUUUGCUCAGAGUCACUUCAAGAAUGUUGGAGAUAACAGUCGAACCCAGUCUGUUUAUUUACUAGCCGGUGGCUUAUUUAUUUCUGUAUUCUUUCUCAGAUUCUGUGAUCAAAGGCUAAUCUGAAGACUACUCAACUGCAGCUAAAGUUAUGCUAGGCCUCUGCACAGAAAGAAAGGAAUAACUUCCAUAGCAGACAACACCAGGGGCUUGCGCAUAUCAUAUUUAAUCAUUGCAGUGACACAGUCAGAGACUUACUAUUACUACCCCCUUUUUAAUAGAUAGAGGAGCUGCGGUCCAAAGGGUUUCUAAGUUAAUUCAGCUGCCAAGAAAAAUAAAAAGAAUGGCAAUAUUUGUGAUGGUUUAUUAUGUUCUAGGCACAAUGCUAACUUCUUCAUAUUUCCAAAACAGUAGGAGGUCUGAGAAGUGAACCAUCUCCAGGAAGUUAAAACAUUGUUCUCCAAAGCCCCAUGUAAAAAUACAAACAUUUUAUUUAUGAUUAAAGAAAGUCCUCACUAAUGUAUCAGCAGGGAUCAUUUUGCCAAAAUGCUUAUCAGAGGAGAGAGCCAUAUGGAACAUAGAUAUUUGAUUGAGAAGUAAACUAAGACACAAUAAUUCCAAGAUGAAGAAGAAAUGCUAUAAAGGUAACUGAUAUCUUGGCUGAUUUGAAUGUUUAUUUGAAUAAAUUACAGAUAUUCAAUUA